rnacentral:lncRNA from 1 species
AAACUUGUUUGCAAGUGGUUUGUGUGUCAAGUGUAAUUACAGUUUGUAAAGUUUCUUGUUAGGACAAAUACAAAGCCUGAUACUCCUCUACUGUUGUGUUUACCUUCAAACUAGUGUGAACAAACCCAUUCCAUUUGAUUAGAAAUAUAUGGUUAUAAAUCCAUAAACUAGAUUAUUGUUAAUACUUCCAAACCGUUGAUUGAGAUUGUAGCAUAACCUCCAACAUGGCUUUCUAGGUUCUAACAUGAUGAAUCCUAUUUGCUGUCUUACAGUGCAAAUCAGGGGACAACAUUUCGACCAAAGAAGAGGAAGACACCUCCAUCUGGGAGCAAGGUCAGUGCAUUGGUAAUUAGAUAUCAUGUGGUUUAAGUUAUGGCUAUGUUAUUAUUACGUACAUUUUUUUAAUAUUCUGAACAAAAUGUAGGGUUCUCAGUUUGAAGAGCCCAUCACAACCACUCUUGGAAGUGGUAACCUCAGAGAGGCCGUGAAACUACCUCCUGGUGAAGACAUUAACGAGUGGUUGGCCAUUAACAGUUAAGACAGUCAUUAUAACCACUAAUAUCAAUUAGUGUCUCUAUCCCUACUUGAUUUAUAUCUUCUUAAGUUUUCUUUGUAUGUUUGAUUUGUCUUUCAGCCGUAGAUUUCUACAACCACGUGAACCUUUUGUACCCUACUCUCCAAGAGUUCUGCACCCCCGACACUUGCCCAAUCAUGAAUGCUGGAUUGUAACUCACUCCUUCGUUCUUGACUCUCAUUCAUCAGUCCAUGUCUGAGUUAAAUCAUAAAAUUUGGUCAUUUUCUUCUUCUUUUCUUCUUGGGUGCAGGUAUGAGUAUAGAUGGGCAGAUGGAGUUGCUGUAAAGGAGCCAAUAAGGGUUUCUGCUCCUGAAUACGUUGAGUAUCUCAUGAACUGGAUUGGAACUCAGAUCGAUAACGAAGCCAUCUUUCCGCAAAAACCUGGUAGACAUGAAGCUAGUGUUAAAUGUCUUUCACUAUGUUGUUUCUAGUUUUUAACACUCGGUUUAUUUUUUUCAUUCUUCUUCAGGAGUGCCAUUCCCACCAAACUUUAAGGAUUUCGUGAAGCAGAUUUUGAAGAGGAUGUUUCGUGUUUAUGCACACAUCUAUCACUGUCACUUCAAGAAGGUUGUUGGUCUCAAGGAAGAAGCUCAUCUCAACACUUGCUUCAAGCAUUUUGUUUUCUUCACAUCUGUAAGUUGAUGAAUAUCUCUGCAACAUGUUCAUUUUUUUUGGGAAUGUUCUAAUAGAUGUAUUAACUAUAAUGGGCCGUUUCUUUUUUUGCGACAUGCAGGAGUACCAGUUGAUCGAUGAAGCAAACUUGGCUCCUCUUAAAGACCUCGUGGAUAAGAUUCUGAACCCGUAGAAAAUGUUGAGAUAUCUCUAUCCAAAAGAAGUUGAUGGUUUCAUGUUUUACAAAAUGAGUUGAUGUAACAUUAAACUAUCUUGUGAUGUUUUUCAAACUCUCUUUCUUUUUUUUGUCAAGUUCAAAUUCUCAAUCAAUAAAUCUAUCAACAUAUAUAUGAAAAUGUUGAAAACAAAGUCUAGUUCCUUCAUUACAAUUUCCACCAAGGAUAUAAAGACACCCAAACAAACAAACAAAUACAUGAUUGACUAAAACAAAGAUACUCUCUUCCCCUCUGUGGACAAGACAGCAUCAACACACACCUAAGCCUUUCUAUGACAAAACAAAUAACCCCUGUGAGUUGCCAUAACUACAGGGAUGCAAAGAAUGAAAUAAACUCGGCCUUUCCACAAAUACAAAGGCCAGAGACUGAUCCCCAAAUCAAGAAGAAUAAUGUAAAGAGAAAAAAGGAAAAUGAUAUACACAAAAUGCCCCAUAGAAAUGGCUCACACGAUGUAUUUAUGUAUAUGCAGCAAAAACAAUAAUCGUAUUUGGUUGGACCUGAUGACACUUAUGACACACUGCCUUCUUUACGUGUGAGUAAGAACCCGAAACCUGAGUUUUCACGGAUCAGUUGAGGAGGCUCAAUGUCAUUCACAUCCACUUGUUGCAUUGACUUCGAUAUAUCUUCCACCGUGAAUGGAAUGCUGUGUUUUGAUUGAUUUAUUGUGUUAGUUUAGAAAUGGGAAGGUCUACACAAACUAAUUUCAGCUUUACCUCGAGUCAUCGUCCAAAAGGAAAGAGCUGCUUACGGCAUUGUUCGAGUCCUCUGUCAUCAUAACCCUCAUGUUUGCAAUAACCUACGGUUUUUGAAAAGAACACAAUUCUAACAAUAUCUAGACAAAAGAAAGCUUAGUUAAUUUACAAGUGAAACAUACAUCUGAAGAAACGCUAUGAGUGCCAUAUUUGUCAUCCCAAUACAUUGUGCUGAUUCUGUAUAGCUGCUGUAUACUUAGCACCUGAACAAGAACAGCAACUUCAAUGUUAAGCUCAUGAAUGAAAAAAAAAGUAAAAUGGAUUUCACAGAAUAGAAGAGAGAGUAAUACCGGACAGAGGUCUCUUGUUACUUCGUCCAAGGUCUUUUUCGGCUUUUGAUGAAUGACCUGAACAGAGUAAGCAAAGUUCACAUAAGCAAACAAUGUAAUGAAGCAUAAAAGGAGUGACAAAUCAUCGAUUAAAAUCAUACCAGGAAACCAACUGCCUGCCUGAUAUGCCUCAACUCAUCCCAAGCAGAGCCAGCAUACUGUAAUAAGAUGAAACAAUUAAAUCAAAACUCAAAAGGUAUGAAAUGUUUUAAGAAACAUUAAGAGACUAUGGCUUAUUACUUCAUCAGUAGCCUCUGCACACCACUGCUCUAAUUCAGCCAAGCCUGCUUUAACGUACUCGCCGUUGCUGAAUGAGCAACACUCACGACGUAGAAGAAGACUGCACAAUUGCAUUACAAAGAAAUCUUUUUUUGUUAAUCAAGAAUAAUCUGGUUUGAGAAGAAACGAAAGGAGAGAUGCCAAGUGAAACAUGCCUGUUGAAGAGCUGAACAUUGAUGAAUGAGAAUAUUUGUGUGAAUACUUUGCGGACUACGAAAGGUGGAGCCUGUAUCAUGUAAACACAGAAUAUAAACAACAUUCCCCAAAAAAAUAUAUUAAGUUUUUUUCUUUUGUUAAUUUCUUGUGGAAGUCAAGACUCACAUUGUUCGCUUUCAUUAGAUUCAAGUAACUGUUUAGGCUUUUCCUAAUACUUUGCCAAUGAGCAAUCAGAGCUUGUUGAGCAACAGCGUUUGCUUGUGCUCUCCCUUUCACCAAACUUGCCCUUGAUGUCCUUGGCGCCUGUAUCAUGUAAACAUGCACUUACACUUAAAUCAAUUAUCUGAUCGAAGUUAAGCUAAAAAGGAUCAGCAUAUCAACGUUCCACAACAAAAACUACAUUAUUUACCUGUAUACACAACCCAAGAAGAGGAGAGAUCUCUUUCUUGAGAUUAUCUCUGAUCAUUCCAUAUAUCUUCUCGAGGUAUGCAGUGAGCUGCUGCUUGAAAAGUAGUGCCGGGUACUUUGCUUCAACUUGCCUCAAGUCGUCAAGCUUAGUGAGCCCUUGUCUAUUCAGAAAAGAGAGUCCAGCACUUUGAGGAGAUGUCCUUAUUCCCUAUUUAGAAUGUUAACAAGGCACACAAUAUAAUUUAAGGCUGCACACCAAGGCAGUUAAAAGAAAAUUCGAAAAAACAAUUAGAUCUUCAGCUUCUUACUUGUGACAUCCUUCCAAAUAGAGAUGCUGAUGUUGUUCUUCGUCUCUGUGGUGUUAAACUAGCUGCUCCAGUUGCUUUGAGUGUGCGUUGCAGAAGCAGUAAUAGCGUGGCUGAGUUAGAUAACCAAUACGCCAAAACCUCGUUAUUAUCUGGUACCUGUAAUGGAAGACAACAUUUUCCAUACUUAUAUUCAGAAAAAUAAUCAACAUUAUGGAGUGCAGAACAUGUUGAAAUAGUGUCAUAAAAUGCUUCCGAGGAAAGACGCAAAAAAAAAAAAAGAAUCAACUUACUUCAAUGGCUGAAGCUAUAGUUUGAAUGAUACGGUCAAAGACGCUAGUUCUUUCGACUUCAAAUGAUCUCCAGUGAAGAAGACAUUUGUAUAUGACACAUGCAGCUACAGGCUUGCCCCCAGCAUAUCCAAGGUUUUGUGAGAUACACUUGACUAGUAGUUCUUGGUUUUCCUGAAUAAGGCAACCAUUAUAAGUUUAUAACAAAUAUAUAUUAAGAGAAAAUCAGAGUGCAAUACUGCAUAAAAAUGCAGUCUCACCGUUACAAUUAGCACAAGAAUAUCAUUGUAUGUGAUACAUGCAGAGUAGUUACCUGCUGCUUUUCAUUCAGAUAUUUCUGUGGUUUCUCCUCAGACUCUGGUUCUCGUACAGCAAGGGCCAUGUCCUGUGACAUUCAUAGACCAUAAGCAAUUAAAGAAACAAGAAAGUAUGAUGGUGUCCUUUUGAAUGGAGAAAAUAGUUCUUUCGACUUCAAAUGAUCUCCAGUGAAGAAGACAUUUGUAUAUGACACAUGCAGCUACAGGCUUGCCCCCAGCAUAUCCAAGGUUUUGUGAGAUACACUUGACUAGUAGUUCUUGGUUUUCCUGAAUAAGGCAACCAUUAUAAGUUUAUAACAUAUAUAUAUUAAGAGAAAAUCAGAGUGCAAUACUGCAUAAAAAUGCAGUCUCACCGUUACAAUUAGCACAAGAAUAUCAUUGUAUGUGAUACAUGCAGAGUAGUUACCUGCUGCUUUUCAUUCAGAUAUUUCUGUGGUUUCUCCUCAGACUCUGGUUCUCGUACAGCAAGGGCCAUGUCCUGUGACAUUCAUAGACCAUAAGCAAUUAAAGAAACAAGAAAGUAUGAUGGUGUCCUUUUGAAUGGAGAAAAUAAAAUGAUCUCCUCUUACCGGCGUAGUCUUUGUUUCUCCAUUAAGAUGGCUUCCAUUUUCUGGCGUUCUCUGGAGAAGAAAAUAUUACAUGAACAAAUAGGCCUUCUUGUAUUAAUAUGUGAAAAGAAAAAAUAAUUCAUAUGUUGUUGGCACCGGUAAAAGCAUGGUUCUUGAUCGCGUGGGCAUAGUUCUGCUGGUUGGAGAUAUAGCAAGUGCCUGUUGACGAAGAACUUGAAUCUCUGACUCUGAAUUGGAAAGCUUCUCUUCUAGUCUGAAAGCAAGAAAUAAACUCAAUAUGUAUUAGUCCAGAACAGAAGAAACACAGUUAUAACUUAUUCGCAUCAACACUUCUAAAGAAAAAACGAAAUUGUCAAAUGCAUAUUGACCAGUUCAACAAAUUUAAGCAAUUAGAAUAUGUAUUCUCUUUGUUUAUCCUUCAUCAAUAUAUUUUUACCAACCUUUGAACCGAUUCAUGCAGCUGAUCUGCUUUUCUAGUAGCAUUUUCAAGCUCUGUGGCCAGCUCUGAGUUUCUAGCCUCUGCCUCUGAGAAAGCUUUUCUCAAGUUUUCUGCAGCUUGUCGUUCAGACUCAAGCGAAGCCUGUAACAAAAAAAAAUAUAAGUUAAACUUCAGCAAUGAACAUAUGAAGGAUGAUAUAAUAAGCUUAAGACACAUACCUUUAGAGCCUCCACCUCUGAUGUUAAUGAAUUGAUUUUUUCAGUAUCUUCAACCAAAACCGGAGUCUCCUUAAUGACUGGAGGUGCUUCUUCAAUAGCUUUCUUUGCAGCCUCUCGUUCCCUAAUCACAGCAGCGUUUGCUUCUUCAACUUGCAACCGCAUUGCUUGCAGAGCCUCUUGUUGUUUUGCAGAUUCUUGGGCUUUUGCCUCUUCCAGCUCACUCUAUAUAACCAUGGAAUUAUCAAUAACAGUGUGUAACUGAAGGAUGAUAUCAUGCCAGUGUAUAGAAAUAAACUUACUCUCUGUCGCUUUUCUAGCUGUAAACGCCACGUUAACUCUUCAACACGCUUCUCAAGUUUGUCCUUGGCCUCUCUAAGGGCUCCUGUGUCUCGUGCAGCCUAGUUCAAUUAAUUUUAAAGAUAAGAAUCUGACCACUUUAAGAAAAUGUGAAAACUUAUGAUAUGUUUCAAUACAAAAAGAAAAUAGAGAGUGAACCAUUUUGAGUGUCCUUAAUUCUUUUCGUGCAACCCUGCUCCUCCAGCCACAUUGUGUCGAAAGGGCAGCUUUCUGGAGUUUCUUGUAGUAAGAAUGUGCCAGGUGACUACGAAGACGAGCCUAAAAUUAAAAAAAGGAGAAACCGUCAGAUUGAUGAUGCAAGAGGAAUAACCCAAAGAGGUUUCUUAUUAGUGACCUGAAUAAUAGUAGCAGCCUUCAUUUGCUUUCUGUAUCUGAACUCAUUGCGAGCAACCAUUCCCCUUAGUGCUGUUUGAACUGCUAUUGCUGAAUGUCUAAUCUUUAAAUAAGAUUCUCUGGCAAUAUGUCGUCUGAAACUCUUCUGAAUAUUCACCGCUGCUGCUUGGCGUCGCAUUUCUUCAUAAAGGUUGCAUGCCAAUUUGCCUUACAUUCAAUAAAAAAAGUUUCAGAAACCACUAAUCCUCCAAAAAUACUACAAUCCGCAAAAAAAGAGCACAUGGACACUAACUAUAUUUCACAUUUGCUACGGAAUACAAAAAAUAAACGGACCUCAAUAAGCCACUAAUGUCAUGGCUACACAGAGAGGCAAGAAAACUAGGGAAGAAGAUACCUCGGACAUUGGACUGCAAUACGAUAGCAGCUCCACGUAGAGCACGGAACUCUUUACGAGCGAUAAAAGUACGGCUUUGCCUUUGAAUUCUCCUAGCGGCAUUUCCUAGAACCUCGGCUCUUCUUGCAUCCAACUCAGCCAUCUGUCCAGCUCUAAGGAAUACUUUUGUUUUCCCUAACUGCAAGUGACAGCAUGUUGGAUAAAUUAGUCAAAGCUCCUAAACCACCAUAAAGGAACCAUUACAUAAUGCAAUUACAAACUACUUACCUCAUAACCCUUCAAGCCUAUCUUAUCCAGAAGCAUUCUGCAUGCAACUUUGUCGUCAUAACUGCACAGAAAGUGAAACCAUUAUAUACAUCGGGAAGAUGCAUGGCAUGUCUCAACGAAAAAGACUGCAAGAAACAAAAUUAUAUCAGAUGCAAAACUUACUUUCCCUCCAGAACAUCCGGAGCAAGAACACCAAAACGAUUGAGAAAGUCAUAAAAUGUCCGCUUUGUUGGAUAACCAGCACAACUGAUUCUAAUAGCUUCCAGGACACCCUUAACAAAAUUAAGACAAAUUUUUGUUCAGUAACCAAAAACGUAAAAGUUGAAGUACCUCAGUUGUUGAUACUCACGAACAGAAAAGUAUAUUAUGGAAGGUUCUGACUGUACUUACACCACAACGUAAUUGUUGAAUUACGUUCAGAUUCUCGAAAAUGGCAGGCUUUAGUACAUUAUUUGGCUUCACACAUCUGAUGUAGUGAGGUUCAGUUGAAUUGAGUGUCUCCAUCAACGACUGAAGUUGAAGCUGGAAUUUGAGAUAGAGUAUUUCUUGUUAAAAACAAUUUAAAAAUCUCUAAUACUUUGAGCUAGAGUCGCCACUACAUAAUGUCUGUAAUCAACACUCAUCUCCAACAUGGGUUAAACAAGUACUGAUGUCUGUAUCUACUUUACACAAACCAUUCAUGAUAUCAAUCACCAUACCUUAAAGCGUGACCCGAUGGAAGAAAAUUUGGUUUUGCUUGAUGUUUCUUCUGCUAGGCGAGGAAAUAAACCAGCUACGAAAGUAUCACUGGAAGCGAUCAAAAGAUCCUGAUGUUCAGCCACCACGUAAUCUUUGUUCUUGUCAAGGAACAAGUCAGCCUGAUAAGUUACCUGUUUCAGUCGGAAAGAGAGUGUGUUAAUGGAAUAAUAUCUAAACCUUGUCAUACGCAUGUGAAUGAUGUAUUACCUCUCCAGCAUAGUGUGAUAUCGCAAAGCUGGUCCGAGAUAGCUUUGGUUUCGUAAACCGCUUACUGUUUUUGAAAGUUUGAUACAGCUUCUGAGCAAAUGUUUCGUGUGUCGACUUCGGAAACAUACUGCAAAAGAAUGGAACAUCCAUUAUACACUUGAUCUCAGUCAAAUUAAGCAAAGCAGCGCCUUCAUCAGAUUCCUCUAAAGAGUAUAGCAACGUACCAUGCUUCAUCUAGAAGUGCAAUGACUCCUCCAGGUUUCUGUACGAGCAAGUCACAUACACACACAUAAGUAUCAAGAAGAAUGAAUGAGUUGUAAAUUAUCACCAAAAAAAAAUCGUUAAGGACAUAAUUAAAUCCAAGACCUUCUCAAUGAGUUCCAACACAUCCUUGUUAUCAACAAACUCUAUGUAACUCCAGUUGAUCUCUUCUUUGGUAUAAUCUUCUUGUUCCAUUUUGAAGACGUGCUGUGAGAAAAGUAAUUAGUGCUACGUCAAAACUAAGAAAGAGAAAAAGAUAUUCGGAAAGCUAAUGGGUUAAGAACAGACCUGGUUGAAAUGUUGUUGCAGCUUUUCAUUGGUAAAAUUGAUGCAAAAUUGCUCAAAGCUGGAAAAAAAAUUACAUGAAACUCAAUACAGCCUUUUAACGUCUUCACAGAAGAAGAAAUAAUUCUGCAAGCUGCAAAAUGUACCUGUUGGUCUUGAAGCUUUCGAACCCAUAGAUAUCAAGAACACCAAUUAUUGUCUUAGAGUUUGGAUCUUGCCCGAUAGAAUUGUUAAUUUUAUCAACAAGCCUGAAAAACAGAAUACGGAUUUUAAGAAGUUAGAAAUUUUAAGUUGUCAACUUUAAAUUACAUAUACUGACACAACAAGUGAAACAUGGGAAACAAUAAUUAAUCACAUCCAUCAAAUUUAAAGAGAGGAUGUUUCUUUGCAUACCAAUCAAACAAGCGUGAAUAUAUAGUUUUUGCCAGUGCAUCCCUGCUACCAGUGGCUGAAUCAGGAUCAAGAGUUUUUGUAAUAAUCUCUUCUGGUGUAACCAUUGCACGUUUAAUCAAUGCAUCUUCCAAACUCUUUGCAUCACACCUUUUUUAAAGAAGUGAGUCCAGGAUCAAAAAUGUAUAAAAGAAACAAAAUAGAAAUGAAGAUUAAACAUGUAAGCAACACAUACCUAAGAAGCUCGGCAGUCGCAUCCAGAUGAAACCUUGAUUUUUCAUCCUUCAAAACUGAGGAGUCAAUCUCUUUUCCUUUUGCAAAUUCGACAUUACCUAGAUGCAGGAUUGCAGCAACAACUCUAAAGAUUGCAUCCUGAUAGCAAUUAUCAUCAGCAAAAUGCUCUACCAGAGAAACAAUCCCUUGUUGGAAAAGGAGAAAGUGAUAAGACUGACCUGUUCCUCUUCACUGAUGCCAACAAUAUCCAUAGCUCGCCGGGUAGCAAGAUACUCCUCGGUAUCAUCCACUCCAUCCAGUUUAUAGCACUUCGAUUGGUUUAGGUAGUGGAACGACUUUGGAUCUCCCAACUUGAACUUUUCUCUUUCCUACAGAAUGGGAAAAGAGAUGAAAUCCUCCAAUUACUUAUUCGUGAGGUACAAAGCAGAACGCUGCACAGAAAGGUUUAGUGCUAACAUUGUGCAGCACCGUACCUCAGGUGGAGCAGCACAUAAAAGGUAAAAGCAGUGGUAAUUUCUUUCUGGAUCUGAUAUUUGACACACACGAGACCUUUCCAACAAAUAUGUUCGGACAGCUGCUCCCGAUAUUCUCCCACUUCUGUCGAACUGAAGCUCCACAAACUUUCCAAAUCGACUGCAUUUUGAUUUAAAGACAAAGUUGCAAUGAGGUUUUCUAAAAAGAAGUUUUUCUGAAAGGUCAUUAGAAUAACUCUAUAACACAAUAAUCUAUGAUGUAGUAAAGAAGAAUAAUCCUUCACUUCAUCGAUGAAGAAAGUCUGAAAAGUAAUAUGGUUUAUAUGAUUCAACCUAUUACAUGUGUGCCAUCUGUGCAACUGAUCACUGAGGUUUCUUAGUUACAAUACAAAUUUCUAACAAGUAGUGACUGAAGAAGCUUUGCGCAACGAACAUGUUUGAAUAUGCAACUCAUGAAAGCAUUUAAAGAGAAGAUCCAUAGGAAAAACCUCUCAGUGAACAUAAGCAUACCUGGAGUUGUUGUUCCGGAGAGUUUUGGCGUUUCCAAAUGCUUCAAGAACUGGAUUUGACUGUACACCACCAACAAAACCAAAAUAGUUAAUCAAGCUAGCAUUACAAGCCUCUCUGUAGGUAUAUCAACACAGUAGCUAACAUAGAUUUGUGACGCCUCACCUCCAGCACUUGCUGUUCCACUGUCCUUCCUUCAACCCCGGAUCGACCACCAAGGUAAGCAAGGUAGCGCAUAAGCAUCUUCGUGGUCUCAGUUUUACCAGCUCCACUUUCCCCACUAACAAGAAUUGAGUUGCUCUUGCCCUCAUUGAUCAUCGCCCUACCCAGAGAAGAACACACAAACAUGAGAAAAUGUACAAAUAAAGAGAUAAAGAGAAUUUCGCUUUGUGAAAUCAUUGGUUGAUCCUAAUUACCUGUAAGCAACUUCUGCGAUUGCAAACACAUGGGGGCUUAAUUCUCCAAAGCCUGCUCCUUUAUACUGCUCCAUCAUAUGAGUAUCAUAAAGAUGUGGUAACCUUUGAAACGGAUUUACAGCGAUCAAGAUGUUUCCGGUAUAAGUCUGCAAACGCAAUUUAGUGGGAAUACUUAGGACUGUGUAGUGCUUAGUAAUUAAAUAUAAUGUGAUUACAUUAGUACUCACUCGGCGCAGAAAAAUGCAUAACAACUUACAUAGAUUUCAUUAAGCUCAUAUCUCAUGGCCAAGUUAUUCAAAACACCAGGUUCAUGUAGAUAUGAGAGCUUUGUCAUGUCAUCAACACCCCCAGGGAGCGCCUCCAUAUCCUUUGGAAAUACGUUUGCGAUUUUGGCCACAACCUGAAAUUAAAUUUCAUUUGUUGAUUAAUAUAUUAUCUAGUUUCAGUGAUUGUAAUAUAAUUAUGGAACAACGGUGUCAAAACAUGGAAGGAGGGAUAGACAACUUACGGUCUUCCCGUUAGUGGUCUGUGCAUGAACUUCUUCGCCAUUGAUUUUGACAACUUCUCCAUCAAUCCAUGCCAACCCUGGAUCUUCAAUCCAAACAUGAGAGCCAACUAUUAUAUUGACUGGGGCAACCUACAGGAUAUAAAGAUUGGAAGUGUGAGGUACAGAGAUAUUAAUAACUUCACAGAAGCUGCUGCUUUAAUCUGAAUUGAGGGAAACUAAAUUUGAAUCAUUAUAAACUUGAAAGAAAGCUUUCAAGAUUUGUGUAAUGUUAAUAAUACAAUGAUCCCUUUGAAUAAGUAUUAGUGGUAUAAAACAAGCAGAAAUGUUAUCAAGCAUAGAACAACUAACAAAAGAAACAUAUAAAUAUGUAAACACAAGAGCCAUUGAAGAAAGCAUUCUAUGAGAUUUGAACAAAUUUAGAUUAAUGAACCGACAAAGUUAUCAGAUUUCAUACAAGAACAGCAAAGUGGUACUAGAUCUUAUAGUUUAAGUCCACCGUCCAAAGAACAGGAAGUGGAAUGUGAAACUGGAUGAGCUUCUAACGAAUCUUAUCGAGCAAUUAACUUUUAUAAUCUGCAAAACUAUAUAUCUUAAACCUUGAAAAAAAAGAAGUGUAUUUAUUCGAAAAAAAAAUGGUCGAACCUAGAGAAGUUUCCUGAUCAUAUAAAAUAUAACAUAGAAGAGCUUACAUGACCACAUAGUACAUGCUAUUCUAGCCUAGGCAGCUUGAGAGCAACUAAUAAUAGAAGUUUAAAAACGAUGAUAACUUUAUGAAAGCCACUGAGUAUAGAGGUUAUAGGAAAUGAUAGACAGUAAACGCAAAUCUCAUACAAAAGAUCUCUUUUUGUUGCUCUGAUAAUUGUAGAAAAUCAAUCAGUUUUCCUUCUAUUGAAUCAGAGAAACCAUUCAACAAAACAGAAUAAGCAAUACCAUGGCUACUCUUCCUGCAAUAAAGAUCCUAUCUUUGCCAGUAGCUCAUCCAAUAGAGACGCCGAGUUUGCAGAGCGCCUGACUCAGAUCGGUGAUGAGAUUAUAAGGGUUGGUGGUCUCUAAAAUAGUUUAAUUGGGAGCCGCCACGAGGAGAUCGGAUUUGACUAGAAGAGUCGUCCGUCACAGAGAUAACCAAAUCUUUCUAAAGUUGAAUCGGAAUGUUUUCUCCCUCUCUCUCUCUCUCUAGAAAGCUGAUGACUUGGGCUUCUAGCAGGCAGACGUCUAUGCCUUUUUCUCUCUCUCCUUCGAGCAAGCAAAGCAAUGUUGUUUUUCUCUCUCUCUCUCUCUCUAAAACACUUUUUUGAAAAACAAAUAAUAAUGUUUAUUUUGGGUGCCUGUGAGAAUGGAGAUUGGUCAAGUGGGGUCCAGUGAGACUCAGGGACGGUGCUGGAUCGAGUUGGACAUUCGUGGUCAGCCACCCCAAGAAUAAUUAUGUUGUAAGAAGCAGACAACGAGGUAAGAGAGUUUACUUACUUACUGUUCGGGUAAUAAUAAAAAGUUUUCACAUUUGUUUUAAAAAAAAUAAAAUAUUAGUUGCGGUCGUUUUGGUUUCCGGUUUGAUUCGGUCCGGUUUAGUUAUCACUUGCUUACAAGUUUACACAUCUAACAGUGUCGGCUUGGUUACUGCGAGUCUGAGUGAGACGAAGAAGAAGGAGAAAGGGAACGAUGACAAUGAUGAGAUCUUUCUCGAUGGCAAUGUUGCUCGUCGCACUAGUUUCAUCCAUCUCUAUUGUUUCUUCGGCUUCUUCAUCCCCUGAAGCCGAGUUUGUUAAGAAGACCAUCUCUUCCCACAAGAUCGUUAUCUUCUCCAAAUCCUACUGCCCGUACGUACCUCUCUCUCUCCCUCGAUCUAUAUCUGUUCAUUUCUAGUCGCUGAUCGUCUGCUUCUCAUAAAAAGAUUGGAUCUUUAUUGCCUUUGGUUUGCUUUUUUUUCUUUUUAGAUCUUAUCAGAAUGAAACUUGACUGAAGGGAAAAGUCUCCACUUUGCAUAUAUGAAUCUGUGUCUAACUUGAAUCCAAUGAAAGUCCUCAGCUUUGUCUCGUUACAGAUAGUUUAAACUAGCUAGAUAUAUGUGGGAAUCAAGUUUGGAUUUUUGAGAGUUCAGUUAUAUGUGCUGUGUAUUUGUUCUAUUGCUUUACUAUUUGGCCUUUUUAGAGUUAUGCAGUAAUAUCACUCAUCACUUACCUGUGUAUAUGACUAUGAAUCCUUGUUGGUGUCAACAGGUAUUGCAGGAGAGCCAAAUCUGUGUUCAGUGAGCUGGAUCAGGUUCCUCAUGUUGUGGAGCUUGAUGAAAGAGGUGCGUUUUAACAUUUUAAAAAAUGUAUAUAAGAUUCAUUUGUUGACUAACGAUUGAGAGAUUUGAGGAACUGAUUAGUUGUUUGUAUAAAAAUUGGGUAAUUGCAGAAGAUGGGUGGAACGUUCAGAGUGCACUUGGAGAGAUUGUUGGAAGGCGAACAGUACCACAGGUUUUCAUUAACGGAAAGCACAUUGGAGGAUCAGACGGUAAAUACUCAGCUUCUUCUCCUUCAAGAAAAUAUCUUUGCUUGUGACAACAUUAUGCUGAUUGAUUGAUUUGUUUAUUGUUUUGUGGCUGUCAGAUACUGUAGAAGCGCAUGAGAGCGGCGAACUGGCCAAGCUUCUCGGUGUUUCCACCAAAGCUGAACUCUAGGUUCAAUGUAGUUGUAGUUGGAGUGAUACUCAGGUGUAAGCACUUCAAUUUUCCAGUUUCAUGAUAACUUGUAAUGUGUUCUGAAGGUUAUAAACGUCUUGUCAUGGUUUUGUGAAACUGUAUUAAAGACUACAAGUUGGAUUGAGAUUCAAAUCUGGUCAUGCUUCAAGCUAACUGUCUGAACAACAAACAGAUACAAAGUGCAUUAUACAAUUUAGGGGGAAUGGAUAGAUAGAUAGAUAGAUGGCUAAAGCUAAUGGAAUAAAACAUUUAGGGACGAGCUCUUUUGUUGCUGCAAGAAGGGCACUUGUAUUGCUUGAUAUGCUCAGCUCUAGCUGGAGUGAUCUUCACACACUUCCCAUGAAACCAUUUCUCGCACAUGUCGCAGCAUAUCCAGAAAUCAGAAGCAUAGUUAUCUCCACAAGCUCCACAUAGGGUCUCACCGUGUUCCUCUUCAUCCUCUUCCUCUUCCUCUACUCCUUCCUCCUCGUCGUUGACCUCUAUUGUCCUUGAGCUUUUGACAUCUAAAUCUCUCUGCAUUUCCAGAACAAAGAAAACAUUUACUACACCAACAUAGCAAAUGUAAACUUCAAAAAAAAAGAAGCUAAUCAACAACUAUCAUUUGAUCAGAAACUUAAGAUAACUUGGCCAUUUCAGUACAUACUGGUCUAUUGAUUACAGCUCAAGACACCACUCAGUCUUUGUUACCUCAAACCUAGAGACUUCUCAUACCACAAGAUGCACAAAGUAACGUUUAGGGAAUCACAAAAUAUUGUGUUCAGUCUGUGUUUCAGAAGCUCAGUGGCAAACUGUGUUAAUGUUCUAACCCUUAUUAAAGGAGAGCAUGAAGCUUACCACUUUUGAAUUAGACUUGGAUCUGUUGCCAUUUUUAUUAACUGAAGAAGGCUGUUCCUCUGUUUGUUUCUUCGCACUUCCGGUUACAACUUCAAAUACAGUAGGAACCUCAUUUAUCAUGUUGAACAAGCGCUUCCUGAAUCAGUUCAUGUAUCAUGAUAAUGAUUGAAGAGAAUUACAUACCAAUCAAGAAGUAAAGGAUUGAUAUAUAUACCUGUCAGCUUUAUCGAAGCCAAAUCUUGAACCGAAGUAUAAGGAGACAGAAAGCAACCAGGCAUCACUGUGUACAGCAACAAGGGAAAUCCACUCUUUUUCCUGCAUUCCAUCUCUGGCAAAGUUGAUGCCGAGCGCAGGCUCAGGGAGCUCAGGAGGCACUUCUUCAGCUGGUAAGUUGACUUCCCACACUUCAUUUGGGAAUCCAUACAAGCAAAGGUUGUCCUUCUCUACAAAUACAGACUUUCAGUUUCUCAAACUAGCAAAUAAAGUUACAAAAUGAAAUACUCAUACAGUCAUACUAGUAAAGACUCAGCAGAUUGUGCUAGAAAGCAACUGUGAUCAAAUGUAUCAAACAAAAAGUAAGAAGGAGAGCAAGAUAAAUGUAGUUUUAAGUGUCAGUAUUGAUUUGGUUAAAGACUAUGUUACCAUUAUCUUAGCAGAACACAGAAGCAAAGAUGUAUACAUAUAUAUAUAUAUACAUUUAAGGUAGAGAAAGAGAAAAACUCUAACCAGGAUUGCAUUGCUGGAAAAACUCUUUCACAUCUGCAAAAUAAAAAUAGAAAAGUUAAAACAAAUCAGAAAUAUUAUUAUAUUCAUGAAUUAGAGAAUUCAGCAAUCUCCACCAACACAACACAAUCUAUAACACUAGAGAACAGUUAUUUAAUAAAAAAAAACUGAAUCAGACAAAUAAAACGAUGGUCGUGAGGAAAAUUCAAAACAUAAGAGAAAAAAUGAAAACUUUAAAAAGAAGGAGAAGAGAAGAGAAGAAAGAGACCGGUGGUGAGAGCACGGAGGAUGCCAGCACGACGGCCCUUGAAAUCUCGGAAGACUUCUUCUACAGUUCGAGGGUUGUAGCGGGCACCUCCUCCUCCUUCCAUCUUCCUCACGAUGAAAGAGCGGCACUCAAGUAAAGAAAAAAAAAAGAAGCAAAAGUCUUUUCUUUUUGGUUUCAAGUGAGUGAUGAUGAUAAAAGCAGCAAACUUUGGUUUUAGAGAAAAGAGAAAAAAAUAAUUGAAUGAAGACGAAAAGUUGAUCCACUGCUCCUUGGAAAGUGACAGACAGGCCCGAUCUAGUCACACGUCAACACUUCACUCUAUUUCAAAUAGUACUGUGUAUGAUUUACAACUUGAAAACAAAAACAAAAAAAAAAUCAAAAACCAUAUGCCUACAUUUCUAUGUCGACACUUCAGCUGUAGAGGAUAAAUUGAUAAACUGAAAACAUUUAUGUGAAUAGAACUUAAGGAAGAACUAAAUCUAGUGUUAAGGAAAACAAUAAUCAGAUGCCUACCUAUGUUAUUAAUUAAUGAAAAAAAGACUAGGAUAACACCAAACCAAGUUUUUGUUUUCAAAGUCGCACUCAAGGUUCAAAGUCACAAAAAUAAGUUUCAUUAAAGAGGUAAAUAUACACUUAUACCCUUUGAAGUUUAUGUCUCAAAAAUAGCAGUAGAAAGAGAAAGUCACAAAAAUGACAUUCAUUAAAGGGUAAAAUAUCCAUAAUAUCCUUGGUUUAAAAUUAAAUAAACAAACAAAAAUAAAUAAAAAUAAAAAUAAAAAAAUAUAAAAAAAGAAUUUUUUUUAUAGUUUCAAAUUAUGUGUUUUCAGAUUCGAAAUUUUUAUAAUUUUUUUUUUUUGAAAUUUUUUUUUUCGAAAUUUUUUUUUAUUUUUUUUCAAAUUUUCUUUUUAUAAUUUAAAAAUACUUUUUGAAACUGUUUUUAAAAUUUUUAUCUUUUAUUUUAGUAUUUAUUUUUUAUAAAAUUUUAAACCCUAAUUCCAAAAACCCACCCCUUAACUCUAAACCCUAAGGUUUGGAUUAAUUAACCCAAGGGGUAUAAGUGUAUAUUUACUGAAACCUAUUUUUGUGACUUUGAGCCUUGAGUGCUACUUUGGGAACAAAAAUUUGGUUUGGUGUUAUCCUAGUCUUUUUCUCUUAUAAGUAUUUAGGCGGAUUAUAAGAUAACACUGAUUAACACUAUAAGCACUCAAUAUAGUAGAGACUACAGUCAAACAUAUUCCUCUUUUUAUAUUCCUAAUCCCAUUUAACUCUACAACUUGGAUUAAAACUUAUUCCACGAAUAACAUUACUAGUAGAUAUGUUAACUAGAAUUUACACAAGUACUCAAUACUUUUAAAUUCAAAUGAGCGCCCAUAAUUUGCAUGCAAACUUAACUGAAGAUUGGAAUACAUUAUAUGAUCACAUAAGAAACAAAAGAUAGUUUCACAAUCAUUUUCAAUCAUAUAACCAUUUUCGAAAUCAUCUACAAAGCAAUAAUCAUUUAGAGGAAAUGGUUAGUAUCAUAAGAGAAGGACCAACAGUUGGAAAAAUAACCAAAAACGACAUGAAAACUGAAACAACUCAGAACGUACAAUAUCUCCCAGUGGCGGUUUCUGCUUACAAAGUCCCUCUCCAGCAUCUCACUCUCAAAUGCAAUAUACGCAUAUAUGUCUGCUUUAUAAAGAUACUAACGUUUCAGGUUUCAGUAGGAUCCAACUGAGUCCAAACUAGUUACCUUCCUGCCAGACCACAGAGACCAACGUCAAGCCUAGAGUAAUACUUUCCAAAAAAAAAACAUCAAAACAUAUCCGGAAGCAUCUAUAAAACAAGCAUCGUUUAUGACCCUCUGAGAGCGAACUUUACCUUUAUCGUUGUUUCUUUUCCUCAGGCGCAUGCUUUACAAGGAACUGCAUGACCGUCCUCCAGUAAACGUCACCCCCAGUCAGCCAUGUAUCCAUAUGCAUCCCACUCGGAAAUUCCACAAAUGUGCACUGAGAGUUACGGGCAGCCGCUUUAGCGUAUAGCAUUUUCAUGUGAAACGGAGGGACCAUCUCGUCUUGCAGUCCAGAGAGGAAAAGUACUGGUUGUUUCACCUGUUAUUGUUACAAAUCAGCUUAUCAGUGAGCUGAUAAAGAAUAAACUCAUGACACAUGUUCUAGUAUCAAAAUAUAUAUAUAUUUUUUUCUCCUGAGAAGGAUACUGCCCAUCUAACCAUGAGAAGAGAAUUAUAGUAAUAUGGAAUAUAUUAAGUGAUCUGCUUAUUUAGUUAUUUCAAUGGAAUAUGCAAACUGUAAGCGAGAAAAAUACAUUUAAAAGAAAGCUACAAGAGUCUACAUUGCUUCUUACCUCACCAAUAGCGUCAAUAGUGUUCCAUGGGGAGCGUACAACAAAAUUAAGAAGUUUUAGGCUUUUAGUACCGCUUCCUCCAAUAAACCACUUCAAGAAGGGCAGCAAAACACCAGCCAUGUCAAGAAUGGAUGUGAAAGUGUUUUCCAGAAUCAAUGCAGAUACCUAUAUAAGGACAGUGCAGAGAUGGUAAACAUACAGCUAAUUGACGUGUAGAGAUAUAAACUUAGUACUGAAGGCAAAAAAAUAAGAAAUAUAUAUAUAUACUUGGGCCACUAAUAUUCUCUCCUCCUAAGUAGUAUAUUCUCUCUAGUCAUCUGUUAAUAUGAAUAUUUAGUAACGGUACCUUUUCAGGAUUGUUUUUAGUAAGCACAGCUCCAACAGCUCCUCCAAGGGACCUUCCAAACACAACUAUUCUAGAUGUAUCAAUGUCUGUCCUUUGAGAAAGGUGAUCCAAGGCAGCCUAAAAAAAAUAAAAGGCCAUAAAAUAGGUAAUGAUGAAUACAUGGAGACAUGCACACAAGAGUUUAAUGGAAAUGUAGACAGAUUGAGAGUGCAAAACAAACCUGAGCAUCUUUAAUGAUUCCAUGCUGUGACGGAUAACCAUCACUUUCCCCAUAGCUAGUUGAACAGAAAAAAUCAAUCAGUUAUAAUGCAAGAAAGGUAAACAAGCAGCAAUAGAUCCAUGUAACUAAAAAUAAACGAUUAAGAUAAGAGAUAGACUAGAAAGCAGGUAACUGAAACUGACCCGCGAUAUGAAAGCAUGAAUACGUUGCAGUUCAAUUUUUGUAUCAUGAUGCGAACCAUCUCUAGACGAUGAGCGAUAUCUAGGGUUCAAAAGGUCAAGGUCUUCACAAGGCAAAGAACCCCACCCAACAGAAACUCCUUAGAGCAUAUACAUAAAUAUAAAACAGAACUCUUUAAUUUACAAAUCACCAAGAAAUGGCUCAGGAAAGGAUACUUCCAGCAUUCUCCUGGAAAAAUAGAAUGGUUGGACCUGCAAGGAAUACAUCAACUAUUAGAAACCAGCUGAACGAAUCGAGCUAAGCUACUACAAACCAAGAGAAGUGAAAUAAGGGAAACUAGUAAAGUUUGAAUUUUAAAGUCAGAAGCUUUCCCAAUUGUAUAAAUCAAAUCUACCAACGAGAAGAUAUAUUACUGAAUCAAUGAGCAGUUGCGUGGCGAAGCUUUUAUGAAAUUCCUAAAACGGAAGAAAGUAUUUUGUUGUGACUCUAACCUAAGGUAAGCUAAGCUAAUAACAACCAAGAGAAGUGAAAUUAGGGAAACUAGUAAAGUUUGAAUUUUGAGUGUGGCUGAUGAGUUGCAAACUAGUACUAUAACAUCAUCAUUACCUCACAGGUCACAAAACUGACCAAUUGAGACCAGAACCUAGCUGAAAACAGAGAUAUCAAGACCUAACAUCCCUAAAGUCAGAAACUUUCCGAAUAUGCAUUAAUCAAAUCUAACAAAAACAAGAUAUAUACUGAAUCAAUGAGAAGUUUCGUGGAUCAGAAGUAGAAUGGUGAGGAAAAAAAGGAGAAACCUUGACAAUCAGGGAGCAUUUUGAUGAACCAGGAGUGGAGCCGCACGCCAUCGGAGGAGCGAAGCCAGACGUCCUCGUAGAUGAGAUUAAGCCUGGCGGGGGUGAUCGGGUAUGACUUGGUUAAACCGGGGAGAACCGGGACGUAGACUAGCUUCUCCUGGAAGACCACGAGGAGCGCCACGCCCGCGACGACUAUCCCUCCUAAUCCGUACAACAACACGCUCACGUACGCCAUUGUUCUCUCUCUCUCGCUCUAUCCGUCUGCUCGUAGCUGAGCAGAAGCCGAAUGUGAAUCUGAAUCCAAAACAGAAGUACUUUGCCACUUUCUAUCUGUUUCUCGCGUGUCUUGCUGCUUUUGCUUUCCUUCUUUGAGAGGAGAACGACUGGGUCGUGUAAUGGGCCGAAACAAGCCCAUCACUGAUUUUUUUUCAAUUGUCUUAUUGGGUCAUCUCCUGAUUAUGUUAUUCUCUAACAUUUGCUUGUUCAGGAGAUGUGUUAGGAAACCAAAAAUUUCAACCAUGGUCUAUAGGCCUGGGAUCUAUAAUGGAACCGAACCCGCCGUACCAAACCGAAAUUUCUGUUUGUUCGGUUUGUUGGUGAAAAGUUUGGCUCGAUUCGACAGGUUUAUAAAAAAAACUUUGGUGCUCGGUUCAGUUUGAUAAUCGCUUAGUUCAUUUUUUAAAAAAAAAUUUAGCGCGAAUUAACCAAGUUUUGAAUCAAAGUAGCCGAAAUUAUCCAAAAUAUUGAAAACUAACCAGCCGAAUUUAACUGAAUUUACCCAACUUUUUAAUCGAAACAAAAAAUUUUGGUUAGUUUCGGUAAAAAAAAAACUUAACUAUCCGAAUUCCGAACCGAACUACCAAACCGAACCAAACUCUUAUACGGUUUAAUUCAGCAAUAUUUUAGUUGAACUGAACUAUCCAAAAAUUGAACUACCCGAACCCGCCUGCCUACAUUGGUCUAUAUGUUUUUUUUCAGAACACUAUACUUGAUCAUUCUACUUUCUACACUGAAUUUUUUAGUUUCAUGUUUUGUAUAUAUCCUAAUGAACUUGGCUUUUGUUUAUACAAAAGGUAGAUUCUAUCUUACAUGAAAUAUUUGUUUGUAUCUCAAAAUUAUAAAAAUAGAGAACAAUUUGUAAUGUCAACUAGCUGUUAUCUUUAAAAUUUUGAACAAUUUGUAAUGUCAACUAGCAGUUACUAAAUAGUGCGAGUGAAAAUGCUAAGAAAAACUUUGAUUACUUAGAGCCACCAUAAAAAUCUUUCUUUCGUUUUAGGUUUCUCAAAAGGUCAGAGCCGGUUUUGCAUGUAUCGAUAAUUGAAUCCUUAAGCACACUUGAAAUACUUGACUACAAUGAACAGCCUUUGAUACAUCUGAAAGUCUAAAUCUGCAAGCAGCAAUAAUGUAAAAUCUCUCGAUUUAAGCUACAUUGACAAGUGGAAUCCCGCUCAAGUUGUCUUACUUAAUCAGUAGACCAAACAAAAUGGUUUACUUUUAGCAUUAACCGAGUGUGAUUAGAUUAGCGGAUUUACCGUAGAGAUGACGCGGGACCUUUUCUUGAUUUUUAAUUAAAAAAAUGGAACCGGUCUUCCUGGUUAAAGUGAGUAUAAAAACAUAAAAAGAGCACCAUGACCAAACACACAACACAAACCAAAGUUAGAAACUGACAGCAUCUACUGUCUCUCCGUAUCCAAAAAGAGAAGAAACAAAAUCACAUUACCAAGAAACAGCAGCUGCCGGAAAAUGCUGACUUGUAUAGCUCGUUCGAAGCGAGCCGGCGAUGAAACCUCGGGUCAACCCGACGAUCCGGAUUCCAAGCAAGCCAAAUCUCUAACAUCUCAGGUAGACUUCUCUCUCUCUCUCUCUCUCUUUGCUCAUCCUCCACCUCUUGUCAUUCUCUAUACUGAUCAAGGGUAUUUUCGUAAAUUCAUUCUCAGCUCAAAGAUAUGGCUCUGAAAGCUUCCGGUGCUUACCGACAUUGUACGCCGUGUACGGAGGGGGAAGUGCAACCGCCGAUCAAGAGCACUCCGGUGACGACAAAGUCUGAUCCCGAAUCUGAUCAACGGUUUAAAAUGCUGUACGGUAGAUCAAACAGCUCGAUAACAGCCACGGCGGCGGCGGCGGCGACGCAACAGCAACAGCCUAGAGUUUGGGGAAAAGAGAUGGAGGCGAGGCUGAAAGGGAUAUCGAGCGGCGAGGCGACUCCGAAGUCGGCGAGCGGGAGGAACCGGGUAGACCCGAUAGUGUUCGUGGAGGAGAAAGAGCCAAAGGAGUGGGUCGCUCAGGUGGAGCCAGGUGUUCUCAUUACGUUCGUGUCUCUUCUCGGCGGUGGUAAUGAUCUCAAGCGGAUACGUUUCAGGUAUGUUACUCUGAUACUCUCUGUACAUGCUUUCAAUCUACGGUAGUGAUUUUUUUGUGUUUGACUCUGUUUUUCUGAUCGUACGGUUGAAAUAUUUUCCCACGUUUGUUUUGAUCGUGAUUUGGGAGAAUGUUCGGAAGAUGCUCUGUUCUUUGGGAGAACUGAAUCUGAUUUUUUAAAAAUAAUUAUUACUAUAAAAUCAGUACAAACACACAAUCUAAAAAUCUAAAUAAAACAAUCAAAGUUUGGUUAAUUCGAUAAUCUGCGUAGAUAAAUAGAUGAAUAUAAUUUGUGGAUUUCUAUGUCUAGGCAACAUAUGUUGUGCUAAAAUACUACUAAAAACAUACGAAUUUAAUAACAAGUAGAAAACUUACCACUUCUUUCUGUUUAGUAUCUCGAAGGGGUAAUUGUGAGUGUGAAAAUAUAACUAAAAAGUGGGUAAAAAAUAGAUACUUGGGACCCAGAGUUGUAGACUGUAACGCUUCAUCACGCCUAAUGAGAAGCAGAGGCCGUAAAGGUCCAAAAAGCAAAACUUGGUGUUCCCUUUUCAGAGUGCUUCUUGGGGUCAUCCCUUCUCAUUCUGUCUUUAUUUCGCUUUUAUUUAUGUUUUCUUUCGAAAUUAGCUAUAUACUCCCUCCGUUUUUUAUUAUAAGUCGUUUUAGAGAAACUUUUUUGUUCCAAAUUAUAUGUCGUUUUCGGUUUUCUAUGUAAAAUUUAUUAAUAAUUAAUGUUGUAUGACCAAUAGUAAUAUAUCUUCUAUUUUUCUAUUGGUUAAAUUGUGGUUAGGUAAAUAAUUAAUGAUGUUUUUGUUUAGAAAAUAUAAGAAAUUAAUGGUUUUCUUAAUCUACGUGCAUAGCUGUAAAACGACUUAUAUUAAAAAACGGAGGGAGUAUAUGAUUACUCCAUUUCCUCUAUUUCUUACUUAUCUUCAAAAUCAAAAUUUUUAGUCCACAGAAAAUAUAGAAAAAGAGAUUUAUCUUAUCGGUCAUAUGAAAUCACUCUAUAUAACGUGUGAAUAAGUAUGCUAAAAACUUUAAUUCUUAAUGCGGUUGUUAGAUGGUACUAAAAAUGUUUCUUUAUUUUUGUUUAAAUCAAAGAUUUAAGAUCUUUGGUUGGUAGAUUAGAUAUUUUAUUCAUUUUCACCAAUAUUUUGGGUUUGUUUUUCGACAAUUUAUAUAUAUAGUUAUAUUUAAAUAGGACACAAACUUUUGCUUUCUUUUUUAAUUCCAGUGCCUUGUUCUCCGCGUCUCUCUCGUCUGUCCUCUAAUCAGUUAUCACAUUAUAAUUGUUGGGCGGCAUAGGAAAAAAUGCUUCGUCUUGUAAUUUCAAAGAACAUAUAUAAAUAAGUAAAAUAAAGCAAAUAGCUUUAGACUUUUGCACAGUUUCUCUCGUUCACAUCUAUGUCGCCUAUUGAAAACGACAACCUCAACGUAUUCUGUCUCUUCUUUGCUUCAACUCUUUGUCUUCUUCCCAUAUAAAACACAGAUCAAGUUCUAUCACCACCUGUCUUUCUUUUGUCUAAACUUGGUCUUCCUUUUUGUUUGUAUGAUUCACAAACAUUGUUUGAUUAGGUUGAGUCCUAUAGGUUCUAAGUGUUUUUACUGUUUGGUUUGGAUCUCGGUACAAGUAUAAGUUAAAGUUGUUGGGAAAUUAAAAAAAGAGACUUGAGAAUUUUCUCAUACCCACCUCCUUCCCCAUUAUUUUCUUUACUGUUAGCCAUAAUCAUCUUAUCUAAUUAUUAGCUUUGACCAUUGCCGUCUCUGUUUCUUUUUAUUUCUUGAUUUCUACAUAAUUUUGAUUGAUUAUUUACUGUUAGCUACCCCAUUAACAGUUGAACAAAAAAAAAAAAAGGGCUACCCAUUAACUAACAUUUUUUAUUAAAAAAAAAUAUUCAAAAGGUUGAAUUUGUAUGAACUUGCAUCUCUUGUUUUCAACUCUCUUUUUAGCCAUAGCCUAUGUGUGUAAUUAGUCAAAAGCUCUAUUGAAUCAGCUAUUGUUAGUUUUUUCAAAUCUCCCUCUAAUCCGCUUUCUUUAAUUCCCACUUUUGUAUACUUGUUCUGAUUAAAGUUAGUAAGUUACUGCUUCUCCUAAUUUUAUUUGACCAUUAAAGUUAACUUAGACUAUCAUGUGUCAUAAAAUUAUGAGAACCAAGUUGUACUAGUAGAGAAACUGAUGUGUUUAUACUCAAGAAUCUAUACCAUUGUUUUUAAAACCGGCCGGAAGCUAAACUGGAUAAUUAUUCAAGUCACGGUUUAAUAUAGUUCGACCAUAUUAAAUAUGGUUCAAAUUUUUUUUAUAAUUAUUAAUUUUUAUUAUGUAAACUUACUUAUAAUUAUAUUAAAUACAAUACAUAAUUAAAAUAUAAAUAUGAUCAAAUCUAAAACAUUGGAAAUAUUAGUUUUUCCAUUUGUUCAUCUGAUUCAUAGGCUUUUGAUAGUUUUAAGAGUUUUCAUCUAGUUCAAUGACUUCAAAACUCAACCCGAUUACGUGACCGGCCGAACCUGGUCCAACCAUCGAAGAGGUUGUGUUUUAAAACACUGUUCCAUACCAAAAUCAACAACUACCAGAAUUUGUUUACCUAAUCUAUGAUUAUCAUUAUCAAAACCACCUCUUCACUUAGGAGUCUAUCUAAUGUUUCAUCUCCUGAUCUUUCACCACGACAAUAGACAAUUUGUAAAUUUGUAAGAUUAAGACAACAUGUUUCCAAAAUGUACUUUAUUUUUCUCACUUCUGUUUUGUUUUGUUCUUGACCAGCCGAGACAUGUUCAACAAGUUACAAGCGCAAAGAUGGUGGGCAGAUAACUAUGACAAAGUGAUGGAACUUUAUAAUGUUCAAAAACUAAGCCGCCAAGCCUUUCCCCUUCCCACGCCUCCUAGAUCCCAAGACGAGGUUAGCUUUUUCACUGAAUCGUAUCUCUCAACAAACCUGUGAUUGUCCACUAACUCAUCUUGAAAUGCUUGUCAGAAGGAGUAUCAUCCAGAGGAUACUCCUACAACACCGCCUUUAAACAAAGAACGGUUGCCUCGCAACAUCCAUCGUCCAGCUGGAUUGGCUGGUUGCUCAUCUUCGGAUUCCCUCGACCACAGUUCAACCCAAAGCCGGCAGUUUAACGACUCUGGAAUACUAAACUCAACUCCUAAACUCUCAAGCCUAAGCGGAGCCAAAACAGAAACAUCUUCCAUAACAAGCUGCUCGUCCAGAGACGCAGACCGGUCAGAAGAGAUGUCUGUAAGCAAUGCGAGUGAUGUUGAUCAGAACGAGUGGGUGGAGCAAGAUGAGCCUGGCGUUUAUAUCACCAUUAAAGUCUUACCAUGUGGGAAAAGAGAGCUUAGAAGAGUCAGAUUCAGGUAACAUAAACAGCUUCCUUACAUUGUUUCAUUCAUUGGUCCUUAGUCAAGAAACUAAAUCACUGAAACUGUGUUUUCUAUUGCAUUGCAGCCGAGAGAUAUUUGGGGAGAUGCAUGCGAGGGUAUGGUGGGAAGAAAACAGGGCAAGGAUACAUGAACAAUACUUGUGAUCAUCUUCUGGUUUAGAUGCAUUAAACCGGUUUUGUGUUUUUUAUUUUUUUCUCAUUCUCGGUAUACUGUUUAUUCCAAGCUGAAGUAAAAAGAGAACCCUUCCGCAAGCACUCCUUGUGCCUCCUAGUCACACAUAUUUUAAAUAUCAACUGCGGAAUAUGUUUAAGGAGGUUUCAUAUUUUUUUUCCUUAACAAAAGAAAAUGCUUAAGCUUGGAAUAUAUAGUGUUGGCUGGUUUGCUCAAUAUAUGUAUCGUUGGUUCUUUUAAGAAAAUUGUACAAUGGUUUGAUACGAAUAAAUAUUUAUUACGUAUUGUACGAACAUGCUCUAUAUGAAUUUCAAAUUAAUAUCAUAAAAUAUUAAUAACUUAAUUUCCAAUAAUAUACGUAAUUUUAUUAUAGUGUUUUUUAAAAACUAUAUAAUAUAAGAUAAAUGAAACAUGACAAUUUCUUAGAAUUUUUAUUUUAGAAAUCUUUAUUAAUCUAAAUACUAUACACAAAAGUAAAUUAAUUGUAGAUUAGAGAAACCAAUGUCAAAAAUAAGUAAAACAUAUCACCCUCUCAAAAUUUAUGUUUAGAAGAAAUUUUACUUUAUUAUAUAAAAUAGCAUUAUUUUCUUUCUAUAGAAAUUAAUUUACAUAUAUUAUAACCAAAAAUAUUAAUUACAUUUUUGGAAAUACACUGCAAGUGCAACCGUUAGGAGACCAUGUACGUAAUGCUGCGAAUCUCUAUUAACUGUAGAUUGAUUUUCUAGUUCUUCUAGGGAAAACUAUCAUAUCUACACAUAUGGAAAUAGAACUUUAUAAUUAAUGAAAAGUAAAAACAUCAUAGCCAUAUAAGUAAAACAAUAUAUACCACAAGAAAAUAAACAAAUAAUUAUACAAUUUUAAUGAUACCAAGAAUAUAGAAAACUUGAUCUCAAUGUGUAUAUACGCACAAACCUAUUGAUAUGCAACAACACACAACCAUAACAAAGAAAAGAAAAGACGCAACAUUCACUAUGGAUUGUCUGAAGAAAACUCUCUUGUUCCUACUCUCAUGCACGGCGAUUCUGCUAAGUAACAACAUAGUCGCAGCUACAAACGUUGGCUUGAACUAUGGCCUUCUCGGAGACAACCUCCCGCCACCUCCCCAGGUUAUCAACCUUUACAAGUCCAUAGGCAUCACCAAAAUCCGAAUCUUCGACCCAAACGUAGAGGUUCUCAACGCCUUACGUGGCCACCAAGAUAUUGGAGUCACCGUAGGCGUCAAGGACCAAGACUUGGCUGCUCUUGCAGCCAGUGAAGAAGCUGUUAAAGGCUGGUUCGCUACCAACAUCGAGCCUUACUUAACCGACGUCAACAUCACGUUCAUUACAGUUGGUAACGAAGUCAUCCCUGGACCGCUCGGAUCUCAAGUGCUUCCCGUCGUGAAGUCCCUCACCAACCUCGUCGAGUCUAGGAGUCUUCAGAUCUCCAUAACCACCGUUGUCUCAAUGGCAAACCUCGGAGAAUCUUACCCACCUUCCUCCGGAACGUUCACGCCCCUAGCGCGUGAACAACUCACCCCGGUUCUGAAGUUUCUGUCUGAAAAAAGUGUACCAAUACUCGUCAACAUGUACCCUUACUUCCCUUACGCAUCAGACCCAGUGAACAUUCAUCUCGACUAUGCAACUUUCAACACUGAGGCCCUCGUGGUCCAAGACGGACCACUAGGAUAUUCGAACAUGUUUGAUGCUAUGUAUGACGCCUUCUUGUGGGCAAUGGAGAAGGAAGGCGUGAAAGAUUUACAGUUAGUGGUGUCCGAGACCGGGUGGCCGUCUGCAGGGAAUGGUGACCUUACCACGCCGCUUAUUGCAUCUACCUAUAACAGAAACUUUGUGAAGCAUAUAGAAAGUGGCAAAGGGACGCCAAAGAGAUCAAACUGUAGCAUUGAUGGGUAUAUAUUCGCUACUUUUAACGAGAAUCUAAAACCAGCUGGGACUGAACAACAUUUUGGUUUGUUUGAACCUACUGAUAUGAAGCCCGUCUACAAGUUGUUUUGAUUUUUUUAGAUUCUUGUUGUUAGACUAUUUAUUUUGUCUAAUUCAUUAUUUAUAACUCUCUGGUAUUUGCAAUAGAGUGGGAUAACCUGCAUCAUUUAUUUAUAAGAUUUCAGUUUUCUUUUGAUAUAAUGAGAUAUUGAAGCCGAACUCAAUUGUGUUUGGAGUUUGCUUUAUGAUGAAAUUUGAAAUUAUAUAUAUAUAUUUUUUAAAAGUGUAUUUAGUGUUACAAGUUUGAUGAUCGAGUAGGUAUGUUUGUUUGACAGAAGUUACAAAAGUAAGAAGUUCUGGAGAGUCUUGUGCUCGUUUAAACCAUGAACAUUUGAUUGAUAUGACAGAAGGCAAAACAUUUGUUUAUCAAUGGAGCUCAUUAUUAUCAGGCUUCCUGGAACAAGCUAAUCAGUCCUUCCUAGGAAGGACUCUCCAGCCAGAGAAUGACGCACAUCAUCUAGGACAACAAGAAUCCUUUUAUUGCAUAGGUUGUCCCUGUGAAGGUUCGGUCUCAUAAUGUACUGAGAACCCUACAUGUCAAACUCUCCUUAGAAUUUUACUAAUUUUUUCAUCAAGCAAAAGGUGAAGUUCUUCAUCAAAGGUUACGAUGAAAUAAGGAGAUCAUAAUCAGUGGAUGUGGCUAAAGACUGCUUUAGAAAGUGCUGUCUUGCCUAGGGGGCUUCUUUCAAAAGCCAAGUCUUAGAUUUUUGUGGUGCAAAGAGGCCAAAUGGUUAGCAUGAAUGGGUUUUUGUUUGCCACAUUCAAUGAGAAUCAGAAGCCAGCAGCUUGGAACCGAACAUAACUUGGGGGUUGGAAACAAUGCUCUAACAGUUGUAAAGUGGGGUAUGAUAAAAAUUUACAGUAGCACACUUUUAAUGGUGUUUGAAGUAAAUUAAUGAGAAAUUGCACUUCAUGUACAAAGAUAACUGCAUAAUUUGCAGAUAUGGAAAAGCCACUUUCUCGCUGAUGUGUCUUUUUAUAAUGGCUGUUGUACCCCUAUGUUGAGCGAAAACACAACCUAUACCAUAUUCAGAACCUCUGUAUCUCUACAUUACACGUGUUUAUUUUUUAUCAAGAGAGAGUUACUUCCUCAUCCACCAAUCGAUACACUCUUUGGUUUUCCUCGAUAAUUUCAUCGCCUAUUGCUACAAAAUUACCUCGUCUUCUCCAUCAUAAUUGAUACACUCUUGAUAUCUCCUCUCUUCUUAUCUUCAAAUUUAUCACCUUCUUUUCUUUUCUAUCGCCGUCACACCAUCAUGUCAACUAACCGUCGCAUCGUCACUCCAUCACACCAUUACCUCUGCUCAAGCUCGCCAUCACACAGUUACCUCACCUCUGCUCAAGCUCACCGUCACGCCGUCACCUCACGUAUGUUACAGCUUCCCGUCACCUCACCCUUGCUACAGCUUGCCUUCAUUUCAGCUAAUGGAGAGGAGGAAGAUCCAUGAUGCUAUAGAGGAGGAAGAAGAACAAGAGGAGAGAGAACAAAUAAAAGGAUGAGAGAGGAUGCCGAAGAAGAAGCGAAGAACAGAGGCUCCCGGAGACACGACGACGGAGACUGGCCAUAGAAGCUGACGGAAGAGUAAACGUCUGUUUACUGAUGACAUCCUGGAUUACUAGUUGCAUGAGUCUCUGUUGAAUCACACACAAAAUAAUCAUUGUUGCGAAUAAUAUAAUAUGUAUGAAUCACAGGUCUUGAAUAUCAUCUUCCUUGUUCAUUACGCGUUUAUGUUUUGAUUUCAUGCAAACAACAAAUGCAAUAUUACAAUUCAAGAUACAAUAUUAGUAAAACAUAAAUAAUUUGGUAUGAGUUAUCCCAAACCAGCUAACAAUAAGCAUAACCAUAUAAAGAAUAUAAAAUAUUUUAAUAGGAAAUCUUAUGUUUAGUCGAAUAUAAUAUAUUAUAUACGGCUAACCAUUUUUUUAACCAUAUAUUGUGAUUUAAUAGAUGGUUAAUUUUAUGUUUAACCGUAAAAGUAAAUUCAGUCAUAUAUUUUGCAGUUUAUUAGAGAGUUAAUUUUAUAUUUAGCCGUACAUGUAAAUCUAUUGCAAUUUGUUUGAGAGUUAAUUUUCUGUUUAGCCGAUCACAAAUUAAUAUUAUGUAUUGUGAUUUGUUAGAGAGUUAAUUUUCUGUUUAGCCGAACAUAUAUUUUUUUUACAUUCACUAGUCCAAACACCAAAUAUAAGACUAUUAAUGUGUUCGUUUUUCGUAGCCGGCUAACUAUAAAAAAAAGACAAAAAAAUAUGUUAACCGGUUAUUUCAUAAAUUACAUCAUUAUUAAAUAGAAAAACAAUUCCAAGAACUGUGAUAACAAUUAAGAAAAAGUACACUACUUCGGUACUUUACCCUUAGCCUGCUCUUGUCUUCUCAACUGAUCCACCAGAGAUGAUACUUGAUGAUGGUAAAGUGGCGGAGGCAGCGGUGGAUGGUGAUGAGACUAGUUCACGCGCCGUCGUACAAAGAGACGAAGAGAAAAAAUUGCUUUUUUAUAUUUCGUAUAUGAUUGGAUAGACGAAACUUUUAAAUCGAAUUGAAAAGAGUUUAUGAUUUACAAAAUUGAGAUUUGGAUUUGCCAAGAAAGAAAAAAGAGACGAUGAUAAUUCUGAAAAAUUACAGAAUAGAAAGAGAAAGAGAAAGAGAGAACGUGAAAGAAGAGACAAAAUAAUGUUUUUAACUUAAUAGAUUUCUCAUUUUUACAUAGAUAUUAAAUAAAAUAUUAAUUUGUUUCUCUUUCUUACCGUAGCAGAGCUAUAGGGGCAACUGUGUAAAUCCAACCAUGAACAGUUUGGGUUUCAGUGUGUUUUUGGCCCAAGUUCCAUAUUUACAAAUUUUAAACUUAUGUCAUAUUUUUUAUGCAAAUCGCUCAGGAAAAUAUAAUUUUUUUAUGUUUUGGCCAGCCACUAGGUAUUUUUACUACUAAAAAUUUCUUGGCAGGAACUACAUAUUUUCUUGAAAUUGAAGAUAUCACUCAAAGCAAAACAUAAUAGGUUCAGUGAAGAGUAAUAUCAACAGAGUAAUCUCUGUUUUGACAACUUUGAGUCAACCAGAAAAAAAAACAAAGAACUUUGAGCAAUAUCAGCAUCUCAUAUGCGCCAACCAAAUGAUUUGCUGGUAAGUUUAGUGACCAUACUUCUGGAACUCCCACUCACUGUUAUCUGUUAGAGCACACAUAUCGAUAUUAGCAAACAGACCAAAACUUCAAACAAGUCAAAAAGAUUACAAACAGAGAAGCACAUACCCAAUGGACAAACUUGACGAGUCUUUAGCCAUCUGCUGAUGCAGUGAAAGUGGAAGGCGUGGUUGCAAACUCCUGCAAGUAUCAACAUUCAUUAAGUCUUUAGUCAGGGGUAAGGCAAGUGUAUUUCGACUCGAGUUGUUCACAUACAUAUAUCAUAUAAUGAUUUUACGAUUCAAGAAAGUGACUCUCGUAAAUCACAUAUAUCUUAAUGAAAACUUCCUAGUCUCUCUAACAAAGGGUUCAAUCUACCUUCCCAGCUCACAAGAUUCAUCUUCAACCGAAUCAAGUCUCAAUUACGAAGCAAAGAUAACAUCAAUCAAAGACGUUGAAGAAACAAGACUUACCCCAAGCAACAGUGCACUCCUCACUCGUAGCACUGGCCUGAUUAGCCUGACAUUCAAUACCUAAUCCACAAACAAGCAACGAGGUUAACCUAAACCAUUCAACGAUACCGUUAUGAAUCGAUCGUUACUACUCUCGGGACUUACACAGAUCCAUGAUGUGGUUUCUGCAGAUAGCGCAAUUAUCAACAACGAUAUCUGCAAUCAAAAAGAAACAUCGAUCAAUACAAACCCUAGCUCACCACAAAACGAAAGAACAUAGACAUCAGAGGAUCGCUCGAGCUUUACCCCAAGCCCAGAGAGCCACGGCGCUCCACUUCUUAACUUCGAAUCUCUUCGCCUUCUUGGUGGAUGACGACGAUGGGGCGACGCUGCUUGAGGAUUCUCCUGCGGGAACCAUGGUGACGUCGGAAUCGAGGGAAGCCAUCGAUUUGAUCUCUCUGAUAACAAAGAGAAUCUGAAGAAGCGUCGGGUAGAAUUGAGAAUCUUGAUGAAGGAGAAGGGACAGACGCUUCGGAUCUAUUAUAAAAAGAGCUGAGAGAAAGGGAAAUAUUUAUUAUUACUUUGGGCUUUAUAAUGGGCUUUGUGAUGUUUCCAUAACCGACUUGCUUUGUUUUUUCAUAUUAUGUCAAUUUAACAUUAAUAAAAUCUAAAUUUUUUCUCCUUUACAAUUAAAAAGAAACGUUUAAAUUUGUUUAUUAAAUUAUGGAAAUAUAAUAACGAACAUGUUUUCUCCAUAUUUAAAUGCAAUAACGCAAGAAAUUAGAAAUGCAAACUGUUUUCUUCUUCAAUUUUUUUUUAAUAUAACUCAAAAUAAUAUACUAUUUAGAACUCUUUGGAAAUUAGCUCUUGUUUUUUGAGUUUUUGAACUUUGGACUUUUUUUCUAUGUAAGAAUACAAUUAUAUCUUAGUGAAAAGCAAAAGCAAAUUUCAAUUAUUUUGAAAUAAAUUUCAGAGCGGAUUAAUUAUUUUUUUAUCAUCUGUAGACACUCUAUAUAUAAUUAUACAAUUUAUAUCAUUUCAACCUUUGUAAAAUUGUUUUUAAUGUUUGUAGUUACAAAUGAGUAAUUAUCAAAAUAAUGCGCAGAAAAGUUUAUUCUUGAAACAUACUUUUCAAUUGUACUAAUUACAUGAAUAUUUCUUAAUAAAUUUCUAACUAUAAUCACUUGUUUUGAUUCUGCAACCUCUUGCAGCUUCAAAUUCUUGAAUCUACCUGUCUAUGUAAUAUGUUUAAAUUAGUCAAAGCUUUUAAAAUGAAAACUGAUUAAACAUAAAACUGGUAAUUAAAAAUACAAUAGUGUUUCUCUAUUUGCUGAAAAUAUACAUCCAAACCUAAACAGAUUUUCAAAAUCGGGAUACAUAGCUAUAUAACCAAGUGGUCUUUUAAGAUUGGAUCUGAGUUUUAAAUUAUUGAAAAUUUGGUCAGAAGUAUAGAAAAAAAUAAACAAAAAGAAAUGUAUAAUGAACACGAGGCUUACUUACAUAGCAAUAAAAUAACAUUUACAAUGAAAUCAAAUUUUAAAAAGACCAAUGGAAUAAAAACACGGAGGAGAGGGAUUUUCUUAUGUACUCCGUCUCCAACGCUCCUCUCCACCAUUUUCUCUUCUUACAAGCUUCCCCAGAGACGACUUUUCCCUGUUUUACCCAAACAUAUCCGGUUAGUUCUACUUCUUCAUCUUCUUUGCUUUCCUGAAUUUGUUUUACCAUUGAUAUUGGGACUUGCUUCGUUCGAUUAGUUUCUGACUAGAUUAACACCAAUCUUACUAUUUUAUUUCUCCUGAUGUUGUUUUGUAAUAAACCUCAAGACAAGUGCUAAGAAAAAAAAAUAUAUUUAGUUGUAUUUGAGGUUCAUGAAUAUCAGAAAACAUAAAACUUUAUUAAUGUACUCUUACCACAUACAUACAAAAUUACAAAUAUUUGUAAUUAUCUAGAUCCAUGUGAGUUCAUGUUAUGCCCUCUAAGGACACCUUACGUGUUGUACAUGCUGGCUAUGUUCCCCUCCUUUGUUUCUCUCUUAAGCUCUUGUGAUUCUCUGAUAAAAAAAACUUCUUUUCUGCAGCUUUUGUGCUUCAUCCUCUGAGUGGUUCUUAGUGCUUUCAAAGUACAUGAUGAGUAAAGUUAACAGUGAGGAAUCUUCUAGUAACCAAAAGUUAUUGAAGGAGGUAGAGACGAUCGGUGAAGCUUUGUAUGUGAACAAGAAUAAUCCUAGGAGGAGCUCAGCAUCUGGUCCUAAUAACAACACUUCAACAAAGCCCUUGGGUCGUACCACCCACUUAGCUGAGCCUCAGAAGGAAAAGAAGUCUUUUUGGAACUGGCCUCUCAGAGCUCUUUCUCAUGUCCGAAACCGACGGUUCAACUGUUGUUUCUUUGCUCAAGUACAUUCCAUAGAAGGCUUACCGCCGAUAUUCCAGGAUCUUUACCUCACUGUUCACUGGAAACGUCGUGAUGAGUCUUUAACCACUCGUCCUGCAAAAGUUUUGAACGGAAGAGCUGAGUUUAAGGACAAGCUGACGCAUACGUGCUCGGUUUACGGAAGCAGAAGCGGACAGCAUCACUCGGCUAAGUAUGAAGCGAAGCAUUUCUUGCUGUAUGCGUCUCUGGUUGGGUCUCCUGAGGUUGAUCUGGGGAAACAUCGGAUGGAUCUUACGAGAUUGCUUCCUCUAACGCUAGAGGAGUUGCAGGAUGAGAAGAGCACUGGGAAGUGGUCGACGACGUUUCAGUUGAGUGGGAAGGGUAGUGGUGCUACUCUGAGCAUGAGUUUUGGGUACACUGUUGUUGGGGAUACUCGCAGUGCUUCAAAUGCAAAGCAAACUAGCAAUAAUAUCACAGGGUUGACGAGGACUACUAGUACAAAGUCUGUAUCUCGGCGUUAUGAUCAUGGUAUUGUUAACAAAGAGUCUCGUCCUCUGUCUGAGAAUGUGGAGGAGAUCAAAGAUCUUCAUGAAGUUCUUCCCGUUGCACAAUCUGACCUGGCCAGUUCUGUGAACAUUCUGUAUCAAAAAUUUGAUGAGGAGAAGGUGGAUCGGGCAGCUGAGUCUCAGAUCGAAUUUGAGGUUGUCACUAAACACAUUGAACCUGUUGAGUCAUUUUCUCAAGAAAAUGAAGAUGCAAAUGAAACUGAGGUUCCUUUAGAGGAUGUUAAGAAGGUUGACGAAGUUCCUACUGCUGGAAGUGAGGAAGUUUUUACAGAAAACUUGCCUCCAGGAGAGCCUUUGGUAAACAGGAAUGAGACUGAUGUUUCUUUUGAAGAAUCAAAGAUAGUUGGUGAAGUUCCUAUUACUAGAAGUGAGGAAGUUGUUGAGAUUGGUACAGAAAGUUUGUCUCCAGAGGAGGGUAGCAAUGUUUCUAUAAAGGAAGAGAACAGUGGGAGAGACGUGAGAGAAAUGAUAAUGAAAGAUCUUGAAUCAGCUUUGAAAAGUGUAGAAAUGUUGGAAGCAACAGCGUCAGACGACGACGAGGAAGAUCAAGAAGACCGUGGAGGCUCAGAAACAUCCUAUAGAACACCAAAUAAGGAAGCAGCAGCAGUAUCAAGUUCGAGAGAUGUGGCAAGCGAGUUCCUAGACAUGCUAGGUAUUGAACACAGCCCUUUUAGUUUGAGUUUUGAGAGCGAACCUGAGUCUCCAAGGGAGCGCUUGUUAAGAGAGUUUGAAAUGGAAACUCUAGCGGCCGGUUCUUUGUUUGAUUUUACUAUUGAAUCUGAUGAAAACUUCUCAGAAGAGAAUGAAUCAGAUUUCGAUCUGGCAUCCCUAGUUCAAGAUAUAGAGGAAGAGUACCAGUUGGAAACUCAAGCAAGAGUCAGCAACCCCAGGGCCAAAACGUUAGAAGACUUGGAAACAGCAUCACUGAUGCGUGAGUGGGGUAUGAAUGAAAACACAUUCCAGAACUCUCCGCCUCACAAUGGUCGUAAUACGUUUCCUCCAGAACAGGAGCCAUUUGAUUUGCCUCCUCUAGGAGAUGGCCUUGGUCCAGUUGUGCAGACAAAGAACGGAGGGUUCUUGCGUUCAAUGAAUCCUUUACUAUUCAGAAACUCUAAAUCCGGAGGGAGCUUGAUCAUGCAAGUGUCAAGUCCAGUGGUGGUGCCUGCUGAGAUGGGCUCUGGUAUCAUGGAGAUACUUGAGAAACUAGCCACUGCUGGAAUUGAGAAGCUCUCAAUGCAGGCAAAUAAAGUAAUGCCUUUGGAUGAUAUAACAGGGAAAACUAUGGAAGAGUUGUUGUGGGAUGCUUCACCUGCAAUUGACGGUGGUAACAGGUUUGAAACCAAUCUUAUCAUCAUUCAUUCUGUUUUGUGAAAAAUGUUUACUUACGUUUUGGACGUAUUUGGUUUACUUCUCAAUGCAGGGAUCAUAUCUCACAGCAUGAAUCUGGUUUUGGGAGUGGAGCAUCAUCUGCAGCUAAUUCAAAAAAGUUUGGUUCAAGCUCUAGCAACAACAACUCUGGCUCGGAGUAUGUAUCACUUGAAGAUCUUGCUCCUUUGGCUAUGGACCAGAUUGAAGCACUUUCUUUAGAAGGGUUGAGAAUACAAUCAGGAAUGUCAGAGGAGGAUGCACCCUCUGAAAUAACUGCACAGUCAAUCGGAGAGAUCUCAGCCUUCCAAGGAAAAAGCGGGUGCGUUGGUCUAGAAGGAGCUGCUGGUUUACAACUUCUUGACAUAAAGGAUGACAGAGAUGACGAUGAUGAUGGGUUAAUGAGUCUCUCAUUGACUCUUGAUGAGUGGAUGAAGCUGGAUUCAGGUGACAUUGGAGACGAAGAUGAAAUAAAUGAGCAAACGUCGAAAAUCUUGGCUGCACAUCAUGCAAACCCACUGAACUUUAUCCGGAAAGGGGAGAAAAGAAAGGGGAAGAGAGGAAGGAGAUGUGGUUUACUUGGGAAUAACUUCACAGUAGCACUAAUGGUUCAACUCCGAGAUCCCUUAAGAAACUAUGAGCCAGUUGGAGCUCCCAUGCUUUCUCUUAUCCAGGUUGAGAGAUUGUUUGUUCCUCCAAAGCCCAUAAUCUAUAGUACAGUUUCAGAGGUGAGGAAAACCGAUGAAGAGGAAAAGGAAACUGAGGUGGUCAAAGAGGAUAAAACCGUUUUGGAGGAACAAGGAAUCCCUCAGUAUAAAAUCUCAGAGGUGCAUGUUACUGGUAUGAAGAGUGAGACUGAUAAAAAGCCAUGUGGAGUCAAGAGUCAGCAUCAGCAGGUGCAGUCUGGUUCAAGGUGGUUGAUGGCUAACGGAAUGGGGAAAGGGAACAACAAGCUUCCUCUUAUGAAACCAAAACCGGGUUCUAUAAAGUCUGGUGAUAAGUUGUGGAGUGUGUCUGGUUCUGGUUCUAAAUGGAAAGAGCUUGGGAAAGUGGGGAAGUGGAACACACACGUGCGGAAUCCGAAUGUGAUCAUGCCAAAAUGAAACAAGAACUAGUGUCUGGUUUCUGGUUUUCUUUUUAUGCUAUGUAAAGUUAAUGUUAUGUGGUGUGUUGAAUUGCUAGAUUCAUUUCAGUGUUGCACCUGUGUUUAUUUAUGUGUGUGUUAGUUUAGGUUUUGCGGAUCAAACUAAUCACUGUUUUGUGGUACAGUUAAGAGAUCAAUGGAACGAACAAGAGCCUUUGAACUUGGUGCAGUGCUUAUUAUAUGAUAGUGAGGCAUCUUAGACGUGUCUGCAAUGCAAUGCUUAUUACUUAAUUAAAAUUUAAGCCAUAGAGACAAGAAAAUGAAACACUUGGAACAAUUACACACAAUAAAAUGCUAAACGAACUUGAAUAAAAAGCACAUAAACUCACACACAAAAACUUAAAAAAAAAUGAAAUAUAAGCUUAAUCAGUUCCUCCAAGCACACCCUUAAGUUUCUUAACUUGUUCAUCACUAAGGAAGGUGGUGGCUUCAACGAGCUCUGAAGGCAAAUCAUUAGCAAACAAAGCAAACGGUAGAAUCUGGAGGCCUGGGGAGGAGCUUCCAAAGGCAACAAAGGCCAAGGCAGGGCCUUUCCCAGAGUUAAGCUGAAAAUGAAGAAGCCCUUGAGGAAACACCAUAGAAUCACCUCUCUGGAGAGUCUUCAAGUAAACUUUGUUAGCAGAGGAAAUAAACCCGGCGCAGAUGGUUCCUUGUAUGACUACAAGAACCUCAGACGCACCAGGAUGUGUGUGAAGAGGAAUGACACCACCACCGGCUAAGUCAAGACGAGCCAUUGAGACUCCAAGACCAUUGGUGCCUGCGAAAGCAGGGGCAAAGGCUGGCGUCACUGCGGCUUUAAUGAGGUUCGAAGUGUUUCCAGCUUUGGCGAGGCCGGAGAAUGCAAAGUCAUUUUAAUAAACCUCAAGACAAGUGCUAAGAAAAAAAAAUAUAUUUAGUUGUAUUUGAGGUUCAUGAAUAUCAGAAAACAUAAAACUUUAUUAAUGUACUCUUACCACAUACAUACAAAAUUACAAAUAUUUGUAAUUAUCUAGAUCCAUGUGAGUUCAUGUUAUGCCCUCUAAGGACACCUUACGUGUUGUACAUGCUGGCUAUGUUCCCCUCCUUUGUUUCUCUCUUAAGCUCUUGUGAUUCUCUGAUAAAAAAAACUUCUUUUCUGCAGCUUUUGUGCUUCAUCCUCUGAGUGGUUCUUAGUGCUUUCAAAGUACAUGAUGAGUAAAGUUAACAGUGAGGAAUCUUCUAGUAACCAAAAGUUAUUGAAGGAGGUAGAGACGAUCGGUGAAGCUUUGUAUGUGAACAAGAAUAAUCCUAGGAGGAGCUCAGCAUCUGGUCCUAAUAACAACACUUCAACAAAGCCCUUGGGUCGUACCACCCACUUAGCUGAGCCUCAGAAGGAAAAGAAGUCUUUUUGGAACUGGCCUCUCAGAGCUCUUUCUCAUGUCCGAAACCGACGGUUCAACUGUUGUUUCUUUGCUCAAGUACAUUCCAUAGAAGGCUUACCGCCGAUAUUCCAGGAUCUUUACCUCACUGUUCACUGGAAACGUCGUGAUGAGUCUUUAACCACUCGUCCUGCAAAAGUUUUGAACGGAAGAGCUGAGUUUAAGGACAAGCUGACGCAUACGUGCUCGGUUUACGGAAGCAGAAGCGGACAGCAUCACUCGGCUAAGUAUGAAGCGAAGCAUUUCUUGCUGUAUGCGUCUCUGGUUGGGUCUCCUGAGGUUGAUCUGGGGAAACAUCGGAUGGAUCUUACGAGAUUGCUUCCUCUAACGCUAGAGGAGUUGCAGGAUGAGAAGAGCACUGGGAAGUGGUCGACGACGUUUCAGUUGAGUGGGAAGGGUAGUGGUGCUACUCUGAGCAUGAGUUUUGGGUACACUGUUGUUGGGGAUACUCGCAGUGCUUCAAAUGCAAAGCAAACUAGCAAUAAUAUCACAGGGUUGACGAGGACUACUAGUACAAAGUCUGUAUCUCGGCGUUAUGAUCAUGGUAUUGUUAACAAAGAGUCUCGUCCUCUGUCUGAGAAUGUGGAGGAGAUCAAAGAUCUUCAUGAAGUUCUUCCCGUUGCACAAUCUGACCUGGCCAGUUCUGUGAACAUUCUGUAUCAAAAAUUUGAUGAGGAGAAGGUGGAUCGGGCAGCUGAGUCUCAGAUCGAAUUUGAGGUUGUCACUAAACACAUUGAACCUGUUGAGUCAUUUUCUCAAGAAAAUGAAGAUGCAAAUGAAACUGAGGUUCCUUUAGAGGAUGUUAAGAAGGUUGACGAAGUUCCUACUGCUGGAAGUGAGGAAGUUUUUACAGAAAACUUGCCUCCAGGAGAGCCUUUGGUAAACAGGAAUGAGACUGAUGUUUCUUUUGAAGAAUCAAAGAUAGUUGGUGAAGUUCCUAUUACUAGAAGUGAGGAAGUUGUUGAGAUUGGUACAGAAAGUUUGUCUCCAGAGGAGGGUAGCAAUGUUUCUAUAAAGGAAGAGAACAGUGGGAGAGACGUGAGAGAAAUGAUAAUGAAAGAUCUUGAAUCAGCUUUGAAAAGUGUAGAAAUGUUGGAAGCAACAGCGUCAGACGACGACGAGGAAGAUCAAGAAGACCGUGGAGGCUCAGAAACAUCCUAUAGAACACCAAAUAAGGAAGCAGCAGCAGUAUCAAGUUCGAGAGAUGUGGCAAGCGAGUUCCUAGACAUGCUAGGUAUUGAACACAGCCCUUUUAGUUUGAGUUUUGAGAGCGAACCUGAGUCUCCAAGGGAGCGCUUGUUAAGAGAGUUUGAAAUGGAAACUCUAGCGGCCGGUUCUUUGUUUGAUUUUACUAUUGAAUCUGAUGAAAACUUCUCAGAAGAGAAUGAAUCAGAUUUCGAUCUGGCAUCCCUAGUUCAAGAUAUAGAGGAAGAGUACCAGUUGGAAACUCAAGCAAGAGUCAGCAACCCCAGGGCCAAAACGUUAGAAGACUUGGAAACAGCAUCACUGAUGCGUGAGUGGGGUAUGAAUGAAAACACAUUCCAGAACUCUCCGCCUCACAAUGGUCGUAAUACGUUUCCUCCAGAACAGGAGCCAUUUGAUUUGCCUCCUCUAGGAGAUGGCCUUGGUCCAGUUGUGCAGACAAAGAACGGAGGGUUCUUGCGUUCAAUGAAUCCUUUACUAUUCAGAAACUCUAAAUCCGGAGGGAGCUUGAUCAUGCAAGUGUCAAGUCCAGUGGUGGUGCCUGCUGAGAUGGGCUCUGGUAUCAUGGAGAUACUUGAGAAACUAGCCACUGCUGGAAUUGAGAAGCUCUCAAUGCAGGCAAAUAAAGUAAUGCCUUUGGAUGAUAUAACAGGGAAAACUAUGGAAGAGUUGUUGUGGGAUGCUUCACCUGCAAUUGACGGUGGUAACAGGUUUGAAACCAAUCUUAUCAUCAUUCAUUCUGUUUUGUGAAAAAUGUUUACUUACGUUUUGGACGUAUUUGGUUUACUUCUCAAUGCAGGGAUCAUAUCUCACAGCAUGAAUCUGGUUUUGGGAGUGGAGCAUCAUCUGCAGCUAAUUCAAAAAAGUUUGGUUCAAGCUCUAGCAACAACAACUCUGGCUCGGAGUAUGUAUCACUUGAAGAUCUUGCUCCUUUGGCUAUGGACCAGAUUGAAGCACUUUCUUUAGAAGGGUUGAGAAUACAAUCAGGAAUGUCAGAGGAGGAUGCACCCUCUGAAAUAACUGCACAGUCAAUCGGAGAGAUCUCAGCCUUCCAAGGAAAAAGCGGGUGCGUUGGUCUAGAAGGAGCUGCUGGUUUACAACUUCUUGACAUAAAGGAUGACAGAGAUGACGAUGAUGAUGGGUUAAUGAGUCUCUCAUUGACUCUUGAUGAGUGGAUGAAGCUGGAUUCAGGUGACAUUGGAGACGAAGAUGAAAUAAAUGAGCAAACGUCGAAAAUCUUGGCUGCACAUCAUGCAAACCCACUGAACUUUAUCCGGAAAGGGGAGAAAAGAAAGGGGAAGAGAGGAAGGAGAUGUGGUUUACUUGGGAAUAACUUCACAGUAGCACUAAUGGUUCAACUCCGAGAUCCCUUAAGAAACUAUGAGCCAGUUGGAGCUCCCAUGCUUUCUCUUAUCCAGGUUGAGAGAUUGUUUGUUCCUCCAAAGCCCAUAAUCUAUAGUACAGUUUCAGAGGUGAGGAAAACCGAUGAAGAGGAAAAGGAAACUGAGGUGGUCAAAGAGGAUAAAACCGUUUUGGAGGAACAAGGAAUCCCUCAGUAUAAAAUCUCAGAGGUGCAUGUUACUGGUAUGAAGAGUGAGACUGAUAAAAAGCCAUGUGGAGUCAAGAGUCAGCAUCAGCAGGUGCAGUCUGGUUCAAGGUGGUUGAUGGCUAACGGAAUGGGGAAAGGGAACAACAAGCUUCCUCUUAUGAAACCAAAACCGGGUUCUAUAAAGUCUGGUGAUAAGUUGUGGAGUGUGUCUGGUUCUGGUUCUAAAUGGAAAGAGCUUGGGAAAGUGGGGAAGUGGAACACACACGUGCGGAAUCCGAAUGUGAUCAUGCCAAAAUGAAACAAGAACUAGUGUCUGGUUUCUGGUUUUCUUUUUAUGCUAUGUAAAGUUAAUGUUAUGUGGUGUGUUGAAUUGCUAGAUUCAUUUCAGUGUUGCACCUGUGUUUAUUUAUGUGUGUGUUAGUUUAGGUUUUGCGGAUCAAACUAAUCACUGUUUUGUGGUACAGUUAAGAGAUCAAUGGAACGAACAAGAGCCUUUGAACUUGGUGCAGUGCUUAUUAUAUGAUAGUGAGGCAUCUUAGACGUGUCUGCAAUGCAAUGCUUAUUACUUAAUUAAAAUUUAAGCCAUAGAGACAAGAAAAUGAAACACUUGGAACAAUUACACACAAUAAAAUGCUAAACGAACUUGAAUAAAAAGCACAUAAACUCACACACAAAAACUUAAAAAAAAAUGAAAUAUAAGCUUAAUCAGUUCCUCCAAGCACACCCUUAAGUUUCUUAACUUGUUCAUCACUAAGGAAGGUGGUGGCUUCAACGAGCUCUGAAGGCAAAUCAUUAGCAAACAAAGCAAACGGUAGAAUCUGGAGGCCUGGGGAGGAGCUUCCAAAGGCAACAAAGGCCAAGGCAGGGCCUUUCCCAGAGUUAAGCUGAAAAUGAAGAAGCCCUUGAGGAAACACCAUAGAAUCACCUCUCUGGAGAGUCUUCAAGUAAACUUUGUUAGCAGAGGAAAUAAACCCGGCGCAGAUGGUUCCUUGUAUGACUACAAGAACCUCAGACGCACCAGGAUGUGUGUGAAGAGGAAUGACACCACCACCGGCUAAGUCAAGACGAGCCAUUGAGACUCCAAGACCAUUGGUGCCUGCGAAAGCAGGGGCAAAGGCUGGCGUCACUGCGGCUUUAAUGAGGUUCGAAGUGUUUCCAGCUUUGGCGAGGCCGGAGAAUGCAAAGUCAUUUUCGGUGACUUGGUCAGGGUUCUUGCAAGAGUAUCCUGAUGGGCUUUGAGGACCCUUUGGAUCAGCUACACAGAAGUCUUGAACAGAGGCAAAAGAGGUUGAUGAAACUAGGGAGAGGAUGAAAAAAAUGUGAAUUAUCAUCUUCAUUUUCUUAUAGAUUAGUUAUACAAGAGUCUUGAAGUUAUGAGGAGAGAAAGAUAGGGGCGCCUAGUUUAUAUAGAGACCUAUAAGAUAUUGAUAUGGUUAACGUGAGGAUAGUCUUGAAGCAAGCGAGAGGGACCUUGUUUUUUGUUAGCAUUGCAUGCAUGUGAACUUUGGGUGUACGUACGCGGAGAAAAGCCCACAUGGCUGUCACAGGUUUUUGUCGGUUUGGAGAAUGGUGAUAAAUGGUUCGUUUUCAAUUAACUUAGCUUCUUAAGACAGUUUUGUUGAACUAAAUUUGAACUGCAGAAUAGUAUAAGUAAACACAUGUUUCAAGCAAAGUUUAGUAAAUCUAACUGCAGGGGCGUCUUUUCUAGUAUGCAAAUACAAAUAUGAUAGAUAUGUCAUACUAAAAGCAAAUUUAAAAUACUAAAAAUGAUUUUAUUCAUGCCAAAUGCUUUUAUCAUAAAUCUUAAAGUACCACUUAUUGGAGUGUAAACCAUCAUUGACUGAUAGAGUUAAAUUUCAAGAAUUGCUUGUGGACUCAAUCACUUGGUUCCACAUUAGCUUCUUAGUAUGAAACUAAAACUAAUAUAUAGUUUAGUUUCAUAAUACUUUUAAGAUAAAGAAAAUAAAUUCAAAUACUCUCAAGGUUUUGAUUCUGAUUAUCGUACAACGUAGUAAAAAUUCGAAGCUUGAAGGGUAAAAACUGUGAGAAGCUCCCAACGGUCUUUUACAAAAUCAAAAUAUCUUGGAGGAGUCGCUUUUUAUAAGAUAUUUUUGUAAAGAAGAUAUGGAAAAGUUGAAAGGAAUGGUUGAUGGAGAAGAAGAGAGAUCAGUGUAUGUGGUCCAGUUUUAAGUAGAGAGCAAACAUGUCUCCUCCUUCCCUAAUUUGGACUCCUCUGCACAGUAUCUUAUCCUCCUGUCUCAUCAUCUUUUAAGUUUGUGUGGCUCUUCAACGUUCCCUCUUACUCAGGGCGUUUACUAUAUCUUCCUCUCUUUUGAUUGAUCUUUAGAUUUUAAACCAUUUUCUUUUUUAUUUGAUGCAUAGUAUUUGUAUAAAUGUUGCUAAUGUGUUGUAACUCGGAUUUGAAUCCGGUAGCGAAAGACCAAGGUUUCUAGACCACCAGUUCAUGUAUACUAUUGCAAUGUCCAUACUAUUGCAGCUGCUGGUAUAACUUAUACUCCGGAUAUAUAUAUAAUGUGUGUCAUAAUAGCUGGGUAAGAAUAAUUAUUACACAAUUUCCUAUAACACACCGACAGUACACAUUAGGCCACCUAUCUCCGCUCUCUCGUAUAUGGGAUUCAUCCCGUUCCAACGGUCGGUGCAUAAAUUUUUCAAGGAUCGAAAGUCUUGUUUACUGACCCUGCAAUCACCACCUGAUAUUUUUCAGUGCUUUGGCCUCACUCAUAUAUGGUAUCGCGAAUCACUUCCCGAUAGGUCACCCAUUCUUCCGCUGCUCCAGCUUAAACACGCUUAACUCUAAAGUUCUAAACAGCUCAAAUGGUCUCUUACAAAGUCUAUUGGUCUUAUUCAGAAAAUUGAAACCUUUUUUAUUGGAUGAUCAUAAUACCGAUAUGUAACGGAAAAGGUAAGUCAAUUUUGGUGACAUAAGUAGCCAAAUCAAUCAUCUUAAACCUUUUCAUAUUUCACAACUCGGGAUGUUACAUUUUCUUUUACUCAAAUGGUAUUUGGUCAAAACUUGGCUCAUGCAUGGGGGCUUCUUGAAUUUGGUUAAAACUUAGUUCAUGCAUGGGCUUCUUCAAUUUUGUAAAAACUUAGUUCAUGCAUGGGCUUAUUAUAAGCAUUUGGUACAAUAGAGUUGAACUCUGCUUAGUUUUGUUCACAUAAAACCUGGGCCUUACUAUCGUUGGUAAAUUAAUCACAAUAAGACCAAAUAUCUAGUUGCCCACAAAAAAAAAGACCAAAUAUCCCCACAAAGAAUACAUGCAUAUGUGAACAAAAACAAACUAACGGUAUAUUAGAGCUAAUCAAAUAUUUGAAGUAUAUAAAAGAGAUCGAUCUGUAGACCUUUUUUUACUAGGAAAAUAAUAAUAGCAAGAACAUGAAUGAAAUAAACAUCGAGGACAACAAGCAAAGAGUGUCGGUUAAUCUUAAGGUGCAGAUCAAUAAAACGAAAGAGAAGGUUCAUUAGUUCCUCCAAGCACACCCUUAAGCCUCUUAACCUCUUCAUGGCUAAGGAAGUUCGUGGCUUCAACGAGUUCUGAAGGCAAAUCACUUGCAAACAACGCAUUGGGUACAAGCUGGACGCCAGGGUUGGAGCUUCCGAAGGCAGCAAAGGCCAUGGCAGGGCCUGUCCCACCGUUAAGCGCAAAAUGAAGAAGCCCUUGAGGAAACACUAUAACCUCACCUUUCUGGAGAGUCUUCAAGUAAACUUUAUUAGCAGAUGAAAUAAUCCCUGCGCGGAUGGUUCCUUCUAUGACGAUAAGAACCUCAGACGCACCGGAAUGAAUGUGAAUAGGAACAACACCACCCUCGGCUAAGUCAAGACGAGCCACUGAGACUCCAAGACCAUUGACGCCAGCGAAAGCAGGGGCAAAGCCUGUAGCCACUGCGGCUUUAAUCAUGUUUGAAGUGUUUCCAGCUUUGGCGAUGCCUGAGAAUGCGAAGUCAUCUGCUGUGACCUGGUCAGGGUUCUUGCAAGAGUAUCCUGAUGGGCUUUGAGGACCGCUCGGAUCAGCUAUACAAAAGUCUUGAACUGAGGCAGAAGAGAUGGAUGAAACUAGGGAGAGGAU